rnacentral:rRNA from 1 species
ACGGGUGCGUAACGCGUGGGAAUCUGCCCUUGGGUUCGGAAUAACAGCGAGAAAUUGCUGCUAAUACCGGAUGAUGACGUAAGUCCAAAGAUUUAUCGCCCAAGGAUGAGCCCGCGUAGGAUUAGCUAGUUGGUGAGGUAAAGGCUCACCAAGGCGACGAUCCUUAGCUGGUCUGAGAGGAUGAUCAGCCACACUGGGACUGAGACACGGCCCAGACUCCUACGGGAGGCAGCAGUGGGGAAUAUUGGACAAUGGGCGAAAGCCUGAUCCAGCAAUGCCGCGUGAGUGAUGAAGGCCUUAGGGUUGUAAAGCUCUUUUACCCGGGAUGAUAAUGACAGUACCGGGAGAAUAAGCUCCGGCUAACUCCGUGCCAGCAGCCGCGGUAAUACGGAGGGAGCUAGCGUUAUUCGGAAUUACUGGGCGUAAAGCGCACGUAGGCGGCUUUGUAAGUAAGAGGUGAAAGCCUGGAGCUCAACUCCAGAAUAGCCUUUUAGACUGCAUCGCUUGAAUCAUGGAGAGGUGAGUGGAAUUCCGAGUGUAGAGGUGAAAUUCGUAGA